GCAGGGGACCGCCACUCACGCGGAGCCAAUCGGAACUCGCGGCGGGGCUGCUGGGUCUUCCAGGAGCGCGCUUGAGCGGACGCUGCCUACCGGUGGCCGGGCGGGAUGUAACCCGCUGCUGAGCUGGCAGCUCUGUGUCGCUAGGCUUCGGCCCGGCCGCCGCCGCACAUAAGCUGCGAGGAGGAGCUUUACGACUUCCCGGUCUUCGGGGCCGGGCGCAGCAAGGGCCAGACUCUGCGCUAGCAGGCGCUGCGCGCCAACCGGCCGGCACCUGUCGCAGAAGGUGCAACCGAUCGCACUGUCGCGCCGAAGCUCCUCAAUGGCCAGCGCCAGCUGCAGCCCCGGCCGCCCACUCGCCUCACCUGAGCCUGGGAGCUUGAAAAAUCACAUUUGAGAAGAGGAUUGGAUCCUAGCCAUAACAUAAAUAUAAGGGUGGAACCAAAGUUUUAAUCAAAGAAGGUGGUGUUCAGUUGCUGCUUACAAUAGUUGAUACCCCAGGAUUUGGAGAUGCAGUGGAUAACAGUAAUUGCUGGCAGCCUGUUAUCAAUUACAUUGAUAUUAAAUUUGAGGACUACCUAAAUGCAGAAUCGCGAGUGAACAGAUGUCAGAUGCCUGGUAACAGGGUGCAGUGUUGUUUAUACUUCAUUGCUCCUUCAGGACAUGGGUCAGUAACCUGAUAGUUCUGAUUCCUUUUUGUUGUUGUUGCUUACUGUUACCUUUAUGUGCAUAUUUGAGUAAUCUUUAAGUUUGUGAAGUACAUACAACUAUACCCAUUAUUAAGUACCAAAUUUCAUGUAGAAAUGUCUUAGUUGAAAAGCCUUUUUAAGUCCUGUGUAAGCUAACAGUGAUUUUACUCCUUAGUUCUUAUUCAUAAGGAUUUUCCCUGCUUCAUGGAAAUAAACAGUGUUGCCACCAUG
rnacentral:lncRNA from 1 species